AUCAGUUUGUGGAAAUCCUCCACUCCCUUCACUGCUACCAUUAGAAACGAUAGGUUUCUGGAACAUCAUCAUUUUACAGCGAGCCAAACAGAGGAAGAAGCAGAGGCACUGAAUAGUUCUGAGCCUGGAGAGAACGCGCAGCUGUUUCUGGAACAGAGGGGAUUUUCCCUGGGUGAGCUGGGAAGUUGAAAACAGAUGAAGUAGAGACUUUAGUCUUCACUUCUGUCCCGUGGCCAAUAUGAUAGCAGGCAACGAACCAGGAGAAUAAGUCCACUGAACAGUCUCAAAGCACUUGAUAAACACUUCGCUUUACAAUAGACCCAACAGAUGAGGAAAACUGACGCACAGAGAAGUGACUUUGCCUGAGUAGGAAGAGUGCUGCCUCUUCCAGGCAGAACAGUCUCCUACCCAGGGUCUCUGCCGUGUCCAGCGCAACAGGGCCCUGAUUUUGGUUAGGAAACGACCAUAAUACAAGUCAGCUUGAAACUGAGCAGAUCUGGUAACACGAUGGAAGAGCCACUCAUCUCCAGAAGGGGCACACUAAGAUACAUUUCACCCUACACGGAGCACUGUUCGCUGCCCCAGCAUACGAGUCCUAGGAUCUGAGUUCCUCCCUCAGCUCAGCCAUUGGAUUUGCUGCACAAGUCAUCUUCUCUCCCUGUGCCUCAGUCUCCUCAUCUGUAAUACUGACUCACCUUUGUAAAGUUCUUGGAACAGUUCAGACCAAAAGAGGCAAUAAGCGCGGAGCGUUAUUAGUCUCACACCUCCGGACACGCACAAGGAUUGAAUUCAGGCAAGGGCUUGGUGAAAGUUUCAUCACUCAAACCCUCAAAAGCCACACAAAACUUUUUAGGUGCCACUACUGACACAGAUGUCAGCCCAGAGCUGGCCAGGAACCUGAGGAGGGUUUAUGCAUGGAGAUCAAAACCACAUGGGAAGUCAAAGUGUUUUCAUUAAAAGCUGCCAUUUCUGCAGCAUUUGGCUCAGAGCUUUGGCGGGCGGAGCAGAAGCAGACAGGCUGAGUCAAGCAUGCUGGGGACACAGCCCCAACCACCACGCUAACCACAGCAGGUCUCCAAACAAGAGAGGGCAGAGCCUACAAGGGUGACUGCAGAUCUUCCUCAAAGCACUGGGAAGUCCGGAUAGUGGGUGCUAGUUCCAUGUGUUAUAGGCAUGGAGGCCGACUAUUACCAGCUCAGAUCUAGAUGCAAGGUCUGUGGGUGUUUGGGUCAGGGGGAUUGGUUCUGGGCCCACAUCCAGGCAGAAGGCUGCAGUGGGAACUUCCUAGGAGCACCCGGACAGCACCUAUUUUGUGUGCAUUUGCAUGCAUCAACGUAAUGCCCGAUUCAGAGAAUGCUGUAUUGUUCCUACCCACUGUGCCUAAGUAAUUCUGUGCACUGGUGGUUCUGUAUAAACAACAGAUGUUAAAUACAUUGCAUUGUAUUAAAAAAAUGCAUAGGCAAAAACAA